GCGGGUGCUAUACAUGCAAGUCGAGCGCGGGAAGCGAGCGGAUCCCUUCGGGGUGAAGCUCGUGGAACGAGCGGCGGACGGGUGAGUAACACGUGGGCAACCUGCCUGUAAGAUCGGAAUAACCCCGGGAAACCGGGGCUAAUGCCGGGUAAUACUUUCUUUCGCAUGAAGGAAAGUUGAAAGAUGGCUUCUUGCUAUCACUUACAGAUGGGCCCGCGGCGCAUUAGCUAGUUGGUGAGGUAACGGCUCACCAAGGCGACGAUGCGUAGCCGACCUGAGAGGGUGAUCGGCCACACUGGGACUGAGACACGGCCCAGACUCCUACGGGAGGCAGCAGUAGGGAAUCUUCCGCAAUGGACGAAAGUCUGACGGAGCAACGCCGCGUGAACGAUGAAGGUCUUCGGAUCGUAAAGUUCUGUUGUUAGGGAAGAACAAGUACCGUGCGAAUAGAGCGGUACCUUGACGGUACCUAACGAGGAAGCCCCGGCUAACUACGUGCCAGCAGCCGCGGUAAUACGUAGGGGGCAAGCGUUGUCCGGAAUUAUUGGGCGUAAAGCGCGCGCAGGCGGUUCCUUAAGUCUGAUGUGAAAGCCCACGGCUCAACCGUGGAGGGUCAUUGGAAACUGGGGAACUUGAGGACAGAAGAGGAGAGUGGAAUUCCACGUGUAGCGGUGAAAUGCGUAGAUAUGUGGAGGAACACCAGUGGCGAAGGCGACUCUCUGGUCUGUUUCUGACGCUGAGGUGCGAAAGCGUGGGUAGCAAACAGGAUUAGAUACCCUGGUAGUCCACGCCGUAAACGAUGAGUGCUAGGUGUUAGGGGGCUUCCACCCCUUAGUGCUGAAGUUAACGCAUUAAGCACUCCGCCUGGGGAGUACGGCCGCAAGGCUGAAACUCAAAGGAAUUGACGGGGGCCCGCACAAGCGGUGGAGCAUGUGGUUUAAUUCCAAAACAACGCGAAGAACCUUACCAGGUCUUGACAUCCUUGGA
rnacentral:rRNA from 1 species